GGCAACAUCGUACUAGGGGUGCUUUUAUUUUUUACUUGAGUUACAUACGACUUCUCUCGUUGUAUAACACUCUUACGACUACCGUCUCAGGCCUUUGGGAAGUGGUGACGUUCGUACAUUUCACUCCGAGCUACUUCGUUAAACAGUGACGGCAGUGUCUGAAGAUCAAAUUUGAGCAAGAAGGGACAUCUAGAUCGAAAAUACAUCUCGGAAAUGGCACUCACCACUUCGCUUCUUCGCUCUGUGUGCCUGAGAGCCGUGCCACAAAUCCUCGCAAGAUCCCAGAGUUCUGCUGCCCAACCCGCACAUGUCGAAAAUGUUGAUGUCGCGAAGGCAAAAGCUGACAAAGUUAAGUUUGACUGGAGAGAUCCACUUAACCUUGAGAGUCAGCUGACGGAAGAUGAAAUUAUGAUCAGAGAUGCCUUCCAUCAAUAUUGUCAAGAAAAAUUGAUGACCCGUAUCAAGGAUGCCAACAGACAUGAGA